AUUCAUUCUCUCUAUUCGUCCGUAAGAAGAAGAAAAACAAGAGGAAGAAGAGAUGGGAGCAGUAGCUGGUGGUGAAGAAAAAGAUAUUGGUGCACAGAUCGCACCUAUCAUUAAACUUGAAAAAGUUUACAACUGAAAAGAGAAAUUGUACCGAUUUGAUAAAAAUAAAAAUCAAUAGAAAGAGGAGUUAGAACUUUGAAGCUUCUUAAACAUAAACAGAAUGGGAAAGUUGGGUCGGUUAUGAGACAAUCUAAGCCAUUCAAGAUCUAUGCUAAUCAUCUAGCCUAAUUUGGUCUUCCAUAAUGUAUUUACUCCACUUCAGGCAUCUCCAUUCCGAGUAUUGGAAAUGUGCAGAGCAUUUAAUUACUGAAGGCAGGUGCUGACCAAAAUUUUGGACCAUAGGGAGUUAAAGCUUUGCUACUUGCAGCACCUGAAGGGAUAACACAAAUCGUCAAGCUACUGGUUGAAGCUGGUGGAGAUCCAAAUGUGACAAAUAUCGUAAGCUAAUUAUAGUUUGGCACGGACUAAAACCAAUAGAGGCUGCAGCUGUUCACAAUCAUCGCCGUACUAUUGAGAUUCUUUUACCCGUGACUUCUCCUAUUCCAUCAUAUGUGGACUGGAGCAUAAAUGGAAUAAUAAAGCAUGUAAAUUCUAAGGAGUUCGAAAAAAAGAUAACUCGAAAAGCAAAUGAGACUUUUCUUGAGGAAAAAUCAAGAGGCGCCAGCGCAUUACAGAGAAAGGAGUACUGGCUGGAAGUAUAUUGGUACUCAGAGGUCAGUAAAACUGCGAACCAAUUGAUUCUGACAUGUAAAAGUAACGGGAAGUCUAGGGUGCACACUUUCACAAACUUAUCAAAAACGGGGAUAAGGAACCUGUGCAACGAGAUAUGCUACUAAGCCUGUUGAACAUUUUAUGAUAUUUGUAGUCAUGACAAUGUUGUGCUUUAGAAAUUAAAAAAACGGGUGGGAUUUCUUUCUUUCUUUUUUGAAGGGAAAGUGUCACAGUAUGCACUAUCAUUUGUCAUAAAACAAUAUAGGCAAUCCAUGCAGGGAUAUUCAGCCUGAUUAUAAACCUUUCAGGUGUUAUCUUCAUAGGCAUACAAUUAGAACAAGAGUUUGGAUCCUGUAAGAUCAUUUCUGCAUUCUCUUUAUCUCAUAGUGACAAGUUUGAUAUUGUCUAAGCGUAACAUAACCUGCUUUUGUUUUUCUCUUCUAGUUUGCAGUGAGGAUCGGGAUAAUCUACUUAUGAGAAGGUUGUACUGGUAGUUUGAUGUCUCCGCUUUUCGUUCAAGAUAUCCCGGAAGUUGGGUCUUCUGAUGCUUUAUUCGGUUUACUUGGUGAGAUGCUCUCAGGACUUAUCAGGAAUUGGAAUAUUUAUAGCGACAAGUUCACAUCAUUGGUAGUACUAUGUGGUGUGAUUGGAAUGUUAAUGGUGGAGAUAAAGGAAACUAUAUAGCCGUAAGCAUAUUAGAUCCAGCUAUCGAAAUAUGGGAUCUCAACCUUGGCCCAUUGAGCGUGCCAGAAGUGUACAUCAUCAUCAAAGGUACCAUUGGAUCUAAUGCAGAAUGGGUACAUCAUAUGCCUAGCUCUAACUGAAGGUGAGCAAAAAACCUGACCAAAUGUGCAUCAUCAAUCUGAAGAAACCCAAUCCAAAAAUCGUCGCAAAGGAAGAGAUGGGAUGGAAGAAAGUAAAUUUCAUUGGAGCAGCAUGGGCAGGUACUUCCUGUAUUUGUAUUUCAGUGACUUUUUUUCGCCUUAGAGGCCUCCAGCAAUGUAGAGUUCAUUUUCCUUUAAAACAUUUUGUAAGACUUUUUUUUUUUUUUGAAAGCAUUGUAAG